rnacentral:rRNA from 1 species
GAUGAACGCUAGCGGCAGGCUUAAUACAUGCAAGGCGAAGGGGCAGCGAUGUCACUGUCGUACGGGUGCGUAACGCGUAUGCAACCUACCUAUCACUGGGGGAUAGCCCGGGGAAACCCGGAUUAAUACCGCAUGAUACAUAUUGACAGCAUUGUUUAUAUGUUAAAGAUUUAUUGGUGAUAGAUGGGCAUGCGUUCGAUUAGCUAGUUGGUAAGGUAACGGCUUACCAAGGCGACGAUCGAUAGGGGAGCUGAGAGGUUGAUCCCCCACACGGGCACUGAGAUACGGGCCCGACUCCUACGGGAGGCAGCAGUAGGGAAUAUUGGGCAAUGGAUGCAAGUCUGACCCAGCCAUGCCGCGUGCCGGAAGAAGGUCCUCAGGAUUGUAAACGGCUUUUAUUCGGGAAGAAGAAUAGGGAUGCGUCCUUAUGUGACGGUACCGAAUGAAUAAGCACCGGCUAACUCCGUGCCAGCCGCCGCGGUAA